UAGCGUGUAGUUCAGCGGUAGAACGAUGCGGCUUAAGUGACGUACAUGCGCUGGUUCGAUUCCAGUCACGC
rnacentral:tRNA from 1 species